UCAUCAUGAAAGAUCAAGAGGUGAGGCGUGAUGGACAUGUGAUUAGCAUGUGAUGUUGACUUGGUCAAAAUAUGGCACCACAUGAAAGGACAUAUCAUUUGAUACACCUCCUCACUUGAUCUGCACCUCCUCUUAUUUGAUAUGGCCCUUUAGAUGAUGCCCUUUCAUGAGAGGAUGUGUGGACGGGAUGCAUCCCUUGGAGAUGCA
rnacentral:lncRNA from 1 species